rnacentral:rRNA from 1 species
UACGGAGGGUGCGAGCGUUAUCCGGAUUUACUGGGUUUAAAGGGUGCGCAGGCGGGUCUGUAAGUCUGUGGUGAAAUCUCCGAGCUUAACUUGGAAACUGCCAUGGAUACUAUAGGUCUUGAAUGUUGUGGAGGUAAGCGGAAUAUGUCAUGUAGCGGUGAAAUGCAUAGAGAUGACAUAGAACACCUAUUGCGAAGGCAGCUUACUACGCAAAUAUUGACGCUCAUGCACGAAAGCGUGGGGAUCAAACAGG